GCAGAUAAAGGAGAGGACCACAAACAGGCCUUCUGACAGCACCUGCUGUAGAACGAAAGAGUCUGGGAAAACCUACUUGUCAGAUGUGGAAUAAAAGCCAUCAGAAGAAACCUGAUAUGGCAUCUUCAAACCCUAUCAUCUUCUUCAGUAAUCACAGAAUUGUAGAGGCUGGAAGGCAUUUCUAGAGGUCGUCUAGUCCAACCCCCCUGCCAUAGCAGGCCCACUGCAGCAGGCUGCACAGACCAAUGAAAACUGCCUGCAGUCAAUGGACAUAAGUGGCACUUGAUUUUAUCAGUGAAGAAUGCCAUAGCAUGAGGAACAAAUCUCAGCUCAAAUCUGUAAUGCAAAUGGAAGAUGGAGAUACUGGGAUCUCCCUGGGACACAGAUACCAGCACACGCAUGCCAAGCAGACAGCAGCUCAGCCCACAGAGAGGUGACAGCACUCUGCACCCACUCGCCACGAGCUCCCCGUCGAGGGGAGGGACCGCUUCCGAAGCGACGCUCCUGGCACAGCCCGGGGGAAGGGACGACCUCUGGAUUUCCACUCCGGCGACAGGGAAAAGGCGAUCGGGAAACGGUAUUUGCGGGAAGAGGAGCAGGCAGUGCUUCGCGGCAGCCCUUUCAAAAGCCCGUGCUAAAUGUGACACCACGGCGGAGCGGGAGCCGCAGGAAACUCCCCUCAACCCCCCCAUCACUCACCCCGCUCUUUUCCAUGGAAACUCGUAAAAAGGGGGAGGAAGAGUAGAGUUUGCUACGCAAAAGUCUCACCUUGGUCUGAAACCGUUUCAGGCGGUUCUGCAGGACCGGAGCUGCCCAUCUCGGGGGAGGGGAGGAGACAGGGAGCUCUUUAGCUACCGCACACACUUUUUUUUUUUUUUUUUUCGCUCGAUCUUAUUUUAUUCCAGCAGCAGCAGUGUAU